AGCAACCAUGUGUUAUUUUAUCAUAUGAUAAACAUUUACAUAAAUUUUAAAUAUUACUUUAGGACUGCCGAAUUAUUUAACAUUUUUUUAUUGACAACACAUUUUUGUAUAUCCUUAUUUUCCUCAAGUCUUAAUUACUAUUCACUAUAAAGUAGAAUAUCAAAUAAGAUCCAAAACAAAAUGUGAAAUAUCAAAUCAAUGAAAUAUUAUUUCAAAUUGAUAAAUUGAUUGUUGAAAUGCUAGUCACUAUAUUUAUAUUAAAAAAUUUGUUUUUACCCAAUUUUUAUAGAAUUGCUAGUCCAACUUGCCAUAUCAUUGCAAUUGUUUUUGCAAAUUUAAUAUGUUUAACGUAUCUAACUAAUACUAAAAGGGGAAUAUGGUGAGUGGAGAGAGUGUCCACAUCAGCAUAAAAAUUCUAACCAAUCAGAGAGCAUCAUUUCAUUGGGUCACGUUAUUUAACAAAACUUAUAAACUAUCCAUUAUCCAACCAAUUAUACAUUCUUUAAUCUAUAUGUUCGGCCCUAUAAUUAAAAUUAAGCCCAAAAAGUUCAGCUAUAAGAUUGCCAAAUCGACCUUUCUCCUCCCUCCCCUUGAUCGCCGGUUUCUACCGUCCACAGUUGUUACACACAUCUUACUUACUGCUACAAUCAAUUACUUCCCCAAAGCAUUGAAUCCUCAACAUAAUCCCAUCGAUGUUCUUCUUCCCCUCCCUCUUCUAUAUAACCUCAUGAAUCCAUUAUCCAUUCAAGCCACACUUCUCCGCUUUUCAACACAAACAGAUCAUAACAAUGGCUUCCAAUCAAUGAAGGCAAAUCGUCCCUCCCCUAACGUCUGGCUUCUCCUUUAGCUCUAUAUUACUUUUAGUAACAGCAAGUUAAUAGACAGAUGGAGCGGUAGAGAGGGUUAACGUCGGCGGAGUCAAGACAUGUACCAAAAUUAUUGCAGGUUGUGCACACGACGAGAAGAGCGAAGACCGGUUCGGAGGGGAUUCUGAUGUUUUUGACGUCUGUGGCGAUCAGAGUGUUUAGAAUGUUUAGCUAACAAAAAUGAGAAUUUUUAUUUCAGGUUCUUGCCCCCAGAAACUUAUCGGCCAAGCAAAAAACGUAUGAUUAUCGAAGGUUAGCGACUAAUGUUCAGUUGGCGUUUAUCUUUGAUUCAUGGUCACUUUGAUUAUCCUCAUCAUGUUUGCAAUAUUAAUCAGAUGGUUCUCUUUGAUUCAUCAAGAAACUUUUGAAGUUUUCUUUCAAGUAAUAUCAGUUGGAGUGCAAGGUGAGAAGAGAACAGAUUCUAUGUCGUUUCUCAUCGCGCAGUUACAAGCCAAGACAGAAUGACUGCAAAUUGGUAAACUUCUUACUUUUCUUAUUACCGAUCCAUAUAGAACCCGUUUGACCAUUCGACUUGCUACUUUGUUGAUGUGAAUACUUAAGGUUGGUCAAUUCAGUUAUUGUGAGUAUUUUUUAUAUUUGAGAACUUUAGGACUGUUUGUUUCAUGUAUUUGAGUAUCUAAACUCAUGUAUAUAUGUAUAUUUCGUGUGUCUCAUACCUGUUUAAACGUUUCUUCACUAUCUGUGAUGUAACUCUAUGUCUCCAUCAAAUAUAGACAAAAAGUAUAUUGAUUCUUAGGAUAAAAAGUAUUUGUCUUCAGUGCUACGUAUCACGGGUGGCCUUCCUGUUUGCUUGGUUUAGUUGUGUAAACGCAAACACGAAUCUGUAUUGUGAUUGUACUAAGAUUGGUGGUGAUUUUGCAGGCUCCAAUUUUGAGCACAAGUUUCUGGAUGAUACUUUCCGGAAAAUCUCUAACAGUAUUCAAGGAGUAAACUCUCAUGUGGUUCGAGACAUUACAUCAAAGCCUCCUUCAACGAUCGAAUGGGAAUAAAAGAUUUUGAUCAGUUAAGGUAUUGUAUUUUAAAGAUUCACUAUGGUUUUAAGCUGUGUUUAAUGAUUCGCUAUAUGUUAUUUUCUUGGAUCAGAAAGAAUUAGCUCAAGGGUUUGAGAGAGUUAAGUCUCUGGAUCUGCAUCCUACAGAACCAUGGUAAUUUUAAGCAUUUGAUUUUCUCUCAUGGCUUAGUUGUAGUGACUGCAGAAAAACUUUGACCAUUUGGUAUUUGUAAUUUUGUGGAGUAGUUUCUAUACUUUUACCUUUAUUUUCUGUUACGCAUGAGCUGAUAUCACAUUAUUUUACAGGUUUCGAGCAAGUUCUAUUCUGGGAUUCUGUGUAUUUGUAACUACUAGACACAUGUGGGCGAAUAAUUUUUAUUUUUAAUCUGUUAUCAUAUGCAGGGUAACCAAACGUGCAGCUGAAAUAUUAUUUUAUUUAUGUGUUCUACGAGGUUUCACAGACUUAUCAUAGAUUUGUAGGAUGCUUUUAUGAUUCAUAGACCUUAUCCUAAUCCGGAUAUUGUUUGAUAAUCCUCAGGUGAUUGCAAAGUCAUUCGAGGUGACCGAUUUACCAAGUAUCUCAUCUUUCUUUCUUCUGUUUUAGUAAUAAUGUUAUAGUUUUAUUUCUUUUUUUUUAUGUAUGUUUUAUUUUUUCAUUGAUAUCACCCAAAUAGAGUUUAACAUACAGAAGUAAUGGCCACAUUUUCAAAAUUUGUAGGAUUUUGAUAAAUAGUAAAUUACUUAUGAUCAUAGCUUUUGUUUUGUUGUGACUGAGACUUCUUUUGUCUGAACCUACGACAUGUGGCUUCAAGAACAAAAAUACACCAAGUCAAAUACUCAUAAAACAAAAGAAAACAGAGCAAGUGGAUAUUUGUUGCUACCGUAUAGGAGAUCUCCCAAUCCCAACUACAUACCGCAAAAGAAUCAUCCCCAAAAACCUAAAAUGAAGACAUGAUCAACUCAUCAGUGGUUCUAACAGGUUGGGGAAGAAGAACUGUAUUGAGAUUUACCUAAAGUGUUUUUCGUUACAAGAUGAUUUAAGAUAUCUGACAUUCUUAAGAAUUAUAGGUUCAUAUAAAUGUACGAGGUCUAUAAGUUAUAUGCAGUUUGUACAAACCCAAAUUUAAUAAAUGGGUAUAAGUACGAGUCCUAUAAAUUAUAUGCAGUUUGUACAAACCUAAAGUAAAAAUACAUGUUUUCAAAUACACUGUUCGAUCACAUUAUUAUUUAGGGAUAAAUAUAUGUGAUGUUUCAAAAUAUAAAUACUGAUGUUACUAGGACAAUGAUAAAUUUUACCCGCCCUUUGAAAUUCUAUCACAUAUUAUAUUUUCUUAUUAAUGUAGUUACAAUUAUAUUUAUUUGUGGUGAAAUGGAUUAUUAAUGACACUCAUUUAGUUUAAUGGGUUUAAAUAGGUUAUGAUUUAUUAAAUGUGAUUUAACUUAAAGUUAGUGAAAACCAUAUUAACUCAUUUACAUAUAUAUAAAUAUAAUAGAAAUAUUAAAAAUUAAAAAUUUCAAAUAUUUUUCAAAACAAUUGUUCGGUUUCCGGUGCGGGUUGAGUUUGAUAUGAGUAUUCAGAUAUAACACUAUAAGAGCCGCUCCAGGAUAUAGGCCAGGUCUAACAGAGUAUGAGAAUUUGAUUUUUGGGUUGAUUCCGAGUCGGUUUUUUGGUAUAAAUAUUCUUGACUAAUUUUGUUAGGUAAAUAUUAAGAAAAUAUAAUAUGUUGCAAAUUUUAGGAAUAAACUUCUAAAAUAAUUUCUGAAAUGCAUAUGACACAAGUGUAUAAUUAUGCAAUAUGACAUAUUUAAUAUACUUACCAAAAAUUAUACUAAAUUAAAUUAAUAUUAAACAUAAUAGGGCAAUUCUUCUAAAUAGACUAUUUUCAAGUUUUUAUUACAAAAAUAGACCACUAGAAGGAAAAUGACCAAAAUAUUUCAUUUAAUA